rnacentral:tRNA from 1 species
GGAAAGGUGGCCGAGCGGCUGAAGGCGGCGGAUUGCUAAUCCGCUGUACGGGUUAAUUCCUGUACCGAGGGUUCAAAUCCCUCCCUUUCCG